ensembl:lncRNA
UUGUGUGUGACAUUGUGUGACACAAUGUGACAUUGCUGCAGCCUGGAAUUGAACUGCUGGUUUCGUCUGGUCAGAGGAGAACUGGCCCCCGACUGAGCCUGGCUUCUCCUAAGGUUUUUUCUCUGAGGUCAGCGGGUCACGUGACUGAUGAAGGUUACAGGUGUAACGCGCGGUUUUCUGAUGCUUCUCCUCUCGAUCCUCCAUUACUGCAGCAGCCGGACGAGGAAGUCCAUUUUCCAAUUUAGCAAACACAAAGAUGACAGGAAACAGCGCAAUUUAGUGCAGAUGAGGGGUAAUUACCUCUAAAACCAGCGCCAUUUCAUAUGAAGCUCAAGCCAUCAUAAUGAGAGCGAUGCAGUCAUUACUGCUAAUUAGAGGAAUUAGUAACAUCAUUUAACAAACGCACAAAUAAUGUUUAGGAUAUUGAAGCAGCAGCCGAAGCCAUUAGACAGAAGCAAAGCUUUCUAAUGCAAUAAUUGCAUGUUCUACACAAUCUCUGGAAUAGAUAAGAGUGAGUGUGUGUGUGAGAGAGAGAGAGAGAGAGAGAGAGAGAGAGAGAGAGAGAGAGAGAGAGAGAGAGAGAGAGAGAGAGCGAAGCUGAACACAAGCACAACCCACCAUUCACUCAGUCAACAAACAAAACCGUUUGACUCGAGGUCACGGUGGACUUCAUUUACUGAGAGAGCUGAUCAGAGAAAGAUCAUGAUAAAUGACGUUCAGUGUAUUAAAAGGAUAUUUUAUUGUUCUUAAGCACAUAAAAAAAUACACACAUUGGAGGGCAAAACACAAAAUGAAAACACUGAAUUUUAUCUGUUGACAGAGACAGAAUAAAAAGACAGACAGACGUGAUGGAAACGAGUGGCAGCAGAACGUUUCAUGGUGAGUGAACGUGACGUGUGCGAUCACCGCGGAUUCACGUGGAUCUGUGAACACAAGAGCACAAACAUCAGAUCACCAGCGUUCAGCGUGAAGGACCGCCCACUCACCUGUCAAUCAAACACUAGCGCACGUACGGCUUCAAGACAAACUACAUGAACACCUGAUCAAUAUACAUGCAGACGUGCACAGAUUUAACAGAAGAUGAUCAGUAUGUGAUCAGACCAGAGACACGUGUAAUGCAGCGAGCGCCUCCUGAUGUAUCGGAGCGUCUACUAAAGCUCUUUCUGAAGACAUUACUGGACAAACAGACAGCGCUGAACGCAGGCGUCGAUAAAGAGCUGAAACAAUCGAGCAGUGCUUGAGAAGAAACACUCAAACAGCAGCAUGAAUCAAACACAUUAAACAGCAGGAAGGCAAACGUGGAUUAACACUCACUUGGGCUUGGUCUCGGCGUCGGUCACCUGGCGGAUGAAGACGGCGUCGGCGGGGUGAGAGACGUCUCCCUGCUCCUGCAUGUACGAGGAGGCGAUGGCCAGCAGAGAGCCGUCUGUACUGAACGCCAGAGACGCGAUGCUCGUGGGGUAACGGUGGAACUGACACAGACGCUUCUUGUUGAACGGAUCCCAAAUGUUCACGAAGCCGUCAGAACCGCCUGCACACACACACACACACACACACAGAAGUCAUUUCUCAGUCGGAGUCAGUGAGUUACACCAACAAAAACUGCAUGUAUAAGGGAAAGUGUUUAUUUUACAUUCUGUAACUUCACUGUUUCUUGUAAAUAAUUUUUGGUAUUCACUGGUUCAUUUGAAAUGAUCCUGUGAUGAAUUAAAGACAUUUAUCAAAG